rnacentral:snRNA from 8 species
AUACUUACCUGGCAAGGGAGAUACCGUGAUCAAGAAGGCGGUUCACCCAGGGCGAGGGUCAGCCAUCGCACUCUGGCUGUGCUGACCCGUGUGAACUUUCCAAAUGUGGAAAUCUUGACUGCAUAAUUUAUGGUAGUGGGGGACUGCGUUCGCGCUCGCCCCUG